UCGUCAAAGGGAAAAAGAGUUCCACUGGGGUGAACAGAGGGUGGACAUUUCCCAACUCCCUUCCGGAACCGUAUUUUAACCCUGGGAUUCAGGUCGGACCUCCUUAAUCAGCACACCGUGGCAUCCAUCACUGCUGAGGAAUAGAGAUACAGAGCUGUGAAACCCUGCCUGCAGAUGAAGAGCAAUGGGUCCCAGUCCUGUUCCUGGGGUCUCAAAGGGAUGCCUUGCAACUUGAAAUUUCUUCAAAACGAUUGUCACUGUGUAGGGCACUGCACAGUUGGGUGACCAGGGCCAUCUGGGACUGUUGUCGUGGAAAUUUCCUCUAUUUACCAAAUCAUGGGAGCAAACCACACACACAAGUCAGAGUUAGUUAUAAAAGUCCGUCUUUAAUUAUAUGAGCUCUAUCACAAUCCUGUGACUCUCAGAUAAAUUCAGUGUCCCUCAAUGAAUUCUCUGAAAGCCCCCUUACAAUACAACUGAGAUCCUUUAAUAGCAAAGAACACACAUAGUCAGACAGCAUAGACAUAAUAAAUCGUUCAGCUUUGUCUCCUUUCUCAAACCCCAGAACCAUAAACCAAUCCUGGGGCGGCAGGGUAGCCUAGUGGUUAGAGCGUUGGGCUAGUAACCGGAAGGUUGCAAGUUCAAAUCCCUGAGCUGACAAGGUACAAAUCUGUCAUUCUGCCCCUAAACAGGCAGUCUCAUUUGAUAUAUGCCUGUUGAUUUUAUUUUAUUUUACCUUUAUUUAACUAGGCAAGUCAGUUAAGAACAAAUUCUUAUUUUCAAUGACGGCCUAGGAACGGUGGGUUACUCCCUACCUUUCCCAGUGGGGAAAGGAGGGUGGCAGUGUCUGGAAUCAUUCUAUGCUCCCUCUAAUGUUGUUUCUAUCUUAACCUAUAGUCUCAUUCUCCUCUCUGUGAGCUUGUCCAGGAUUGGUUGUAUUUAGGGUUGGUUGUAUCUAAAUGACAAUUUGAUAUAUGCCUGUUGAUUUUAUUUUAUUUUACCUUUAUUUAACUAGGCAUAUAUCAAAUUGUCAUUUGAUAUAUGCCUGUUGAUUUUAUUUUAUUUUACCUUUAUUUAACUAGGCAUAUAUCAAAUUGUCAUUUAGAUACAACCAACCCUAAAUACAACCAAUCCUGGACAAGCUCACAGAGAGGAGAAUGAGGCUAUAGGUUAAGAUAGAAACAACAUUAGAGGGAGCAUAGAAUGAUUCCAGACACUGCCACCCUCCUUUCCCCACUGGGAAAGGUAGGAGUAAAAUAUAUGUUUACACAUGAUGACACUUUGACCUCUCCCCUCUCCGCGACCCAUGCAACUUAGUCUUGACAUAGAACAGAUAACUGCAACCUCGCCACAGUAUUAUACAAAAAUACCAUUCUGAUGAGAAGUAACUUACACACAUUUGAUAAAACAUCUUACAUAUGUUACCAACAAAUUCUGAAUCUUCCACGACACUGUCUCGUGGGGAUUUCAGGCAUCUGUGAAGACUACCUGUGUCCUGCAUAACUUCAUGAUGAUGAACAGGAGGGGACAUGCAGCGCUCCGCCGUGUGCCAGAGGAGAGGUCUGCUGCUCUGCAGGAUGUUGCCAGGAUGGGGGCCAACAACGCAGCACAGUAGGCAAUCUGUGCAGGAGACCUUCACCUCCUACUUCUUCGCAAAGGAUGCUGUUCCUUGGCAACACCAUAGACUACACUAUGCACAACCAAAGGCUCUUUUAAGAGCCAUCCACAUUGCAAUAAGAGUAUUCUUGAAUUUACUUAGCUAUGUCAACUGCAGUUAUUCAAUUUCCAGUUUCUCUUCCUUUGAUUUCUACUUUGCGGGUGAGGGUGCUGUUUAGGUAGGAGUGGUGUCUGUACAAAAACAAAACAGACUCUCACCCAUUUUGAAAACAUUUAGAACAAUUAGACACCCUAUAAGCCACAACUACACACUUGUCUAUUGCUAUAAAGAAGCGUUAACACACCUCACACAGGCCUUUUUUCAGGUGAAUACGUUUUAGAAAAAAAUAUUAGUGUGUGUUUCUGGAAAAAAGGGCCACUAUUGUCUCAAAAGUCCGUUAUUAUUGACUUUUAAAACAAUUAUUGUUCAUCAGUAAAAGGGGCAAUCCGCAGUUAAUAUAACUUGUGCUUAGUUCAACUGUUGUACCCCAUUGUUAGAGGAGAUUAUGGUUGAAAUGAUUAAUUAUGUAUACAUUAUUGAUUAGAACCAUUUAUUCUAAUACUAUUAUGUUAUGGUAUGAAAAGUAAAAGUUAUUGGUUAAGCUGUUACUGAAAAUGUAAGCAGAAAUAAUUCAUUGUCUGUGCCUCUUGGGAAGUUUAAGGGGGAGGGAUGAGAUAGCUUUUCAGACAGAUAAGAAUGUUUUGGUUGGAUUCCAUUAGUGGAGAGAUGCUAGUGGUUGGAAUGUAGUUUUAUGGGAGGAGCAGGAAGAUUGUACCAGACCUAAUAAACAAUGGGCUCUUGUGAGAAUCGGAGAGAGGGUGGGAAACUGAUGAUGUCAUUUUCAGUUUAUAACCUGUGGAAAUGUGUGUAAGCAUUUAGUACUCUCUUGUAAUAAACGCUGUUACUUUUGGCUUUUAA